UGGAGGCAGCAGUGGGGAAUCUUGCGCAAUGGCCGCAAGGCUGACGCAGCGACGCCGCGUGUGGGAGGACGCCCUUCGGGGUGUAAACCACUGUUGCCCGGGACGAACCUCCCCUUUCGAGGGGACUGACGGUACCGGGUGAGGAAGCACCGGCUAACUCCGUGCCAGCAGCCGCGGUAAUACGGAGGGUGCGAGCGUUGUCCGGAAUCACUGGGCGUAAAGGGCGCGUAGGCGGCUUCUUAAGCGUGCGGUGAAAGCUCGGGGCUCAACUCCGAGUCGGCCGUGCGAACUGGGGAGCUCGAGCACAGUAGAGGCAGGUGGAAUUCCGGGUGUAGCGGUGGAAUGCGUAGAGAUCCGGAAGAACACCGGUGGCGAAGGCGGCCUGCUGGGCUGUGGCUGACGCUGAGGCGCGACAGCGUGGGGAGCAAACAGGAUUAGAUACCCCGGUAGG
rnacentral:rRNA from 1 species